UAGGAUGCAAGUUUUUUUUCU
rnacentral:piRNA from 1 species